rnacentral:tRNA from 1 species
GCGGGAUUAGUACAUCGGUAGUACAGGGCCUUCCCAAGGCUCGGAGGUGGGUUCGACUCCCAUAUCCCGCUCCA